AACCCGUCCUUGAACCAAUCCUGAGAAAAGAGCCUUGAAGUGUCUUACUUUUAACAAUUUGUACAAGGUGACGGCGUCGCGGAUCACGUUCUCCAGGAACACCUUCAGCACACCGCGGGUCUCCUCGUAGAUGAGGCCGGAGAUGCGCUUCACUCCUCCGCGCCGAGCCAGGCGGCGGAUGGCGGGCUUGGUGAUGCCCUGGAUGUUGUCGCGCAGCACUUUGCGAUGGCGCUUAGCGCCGCCUUUGCCCAGGCCUUUUCCUCCCUUGCCGCGACCAGACAUAAUUAAAUUCUUACAAGCUUUCAGUAGUAAGUUGGUGAACUAAGAAUUCGCUGUGUUAUUAUAGGCUCUUAUCGGACCUGGUUGAGAACUUCAAGUGGGCGGGGACCAAAGGCUUCUUUUGCUCAGCCCAUUUCAGGGUGGUGACUCUGGAGUACUGUAUAGGGCACAUGCAGACAUGGAGUCUCUCAGGUUUCCCCAGAUUUGAGUAUACUGCUUUUAUUAUAUGUUAUAUUGUUCUAUAAGGAUUUUAGCAAGGAGUUACAUUUUUAUGGACCAGUACCUGGAGGAUUAAAACAAAUACCCCUGUAAAGUAUUUAGGUUUAAAACAUCUUUUUAAAAAAUUCAACAGGUGCCAAAAGACCAUGUGAUUAUUGUUUCUUAAAACCUAAAAAUUCAAAUGUGAAAGAUACUUUUAAAAAUAAAUUACAAGAGAAUUUUUUAAUAGAAAUUGAAAUAGAAUCGGUAUAAGUAGAAUUUAUUAAAAUUCUACUUGUCAACAUAGGUCAAGCUCCUUUGCCUAGUCAUAUAGAUGCACUUGGCUAUUCCCUGUCUGGAAUCCAUUCAUUGCUGGUUUGGAUUGCUAUAUUUUUUAUUAGAGCGGGAAAACUGCAUGAUGCUUGUAUUCUAUUUUGCCACCCCUACACAGUGUAUGCUCUCGUUCAAAGUAAUGAAUUCAGAGAUAUUGGAACUGGUCAUUUUCCUGUUCCCCCUUUAUACUUAUAAAACUUGUCUGAUAAUGGUGCUCACAGUUUGUUUGCUUGGGUACUACAUUAGAAGAGAUUGUUUCAAAGAAGUACUACAUAAAUAUAUUUACCUG
ensembl:processed_transcript 4930558J22Rik RIKEN cDNA 4930558J22 gene